rnacentral:rRNA from 1 species
AACGAACGCUGGCGGCGCGCCUAAUACAUGCAAGUCGAGCGAGAAGACAUAGCAAUACGUUUGUAAAGCGGCGAACGGGUGAGGAAUACAUGGGUAACCUACCCUCGAGUGGGGAAUAACUAGCCGAAAGGUUAGCUAAUACCGCGUACGCUCCUUGGACUUCGGUUCAGGGAGGAAAGCGAUACCGUGGGUAUCGCGCUCUUGGAUGGGCUCAUGUCCUAUCAGCUGUUGGUGAGGUAACGGCUCACCAAGGCUUCGACGGGUAGCUGGUCUGAGAGGACGAUCAGCCACACUGGCACUGCGACACGGGGCCAGACUCCUACGGGAGGCAGCAGUAAGGAAUAUUGCGCAAUGGGCGAAAGCCUGGCGACGCAACGCCGCGUGGAGGAUGAAGACCUUC